UGCAAGUCGAACGCUGAAGAGAGGAGCUUGCUCUUCUUGGAUGAGUUGCGAACGGGUGAGUAACGCGUAGGUAACCUGCCUGGUAGCGGGGGAUAACUAUUGGAAACGAUAGCUAAUACCGCAUAAAAUGGAUUAUCGCAUGAUAAUGCAUUGAAAGGUGCAAAUGCAUCACUACCAGAUGGACCUGCGUUGUAUUAGCUAGUUGGUGGGGUAACGGCUCACCAAGGCGACGAUACAUAGCCGACCUGAGAGGGUGAUCGGCCACACUGGGACUGAGACACGGCCCAGACUCCUACGGGAGGCAGCAGUAGGGAAUCUUCGGCAAUGGACGGAAGUCUGACCGAGCAACGCCGCGUGAGUGAAGAAGGUUUUCGGAUCGUAAAGCUCUGUUGUUAGGGAAGAAUGGAUAUGUAGUAACUAUACAUGUAAGAGACGGUACCUAACCAGAAAGCCACGGCUAACUACGUGCCAGCAGCCGCGGU
rnacentral:rRNA from 1 species